rnacentral:rRNA from 1 species
GCAAGGCCUUGCGCUCUUUGAGCGGCCGAUGUCAGAUUAGCUAGUUGGUGAGGUAAAGGCUUACCAAGGCGACGAUCUGUAGCGGGUCUGAGAGGAUGAUCCGCCACACUGGAACUGAUACACGGUCCAGACUCCUACGGGAGGCAGCAGUGGGGAAUUUUGGACAAUGGGGGCAACCCUGAUCCAGCCAUGCCGCGUGAGUGAAGAAGGCCUUCGGGUUGUAAAGCUCUUUCGGCCGGGAAGAAAUCGCAUGGGCCAAUACCCUGUGUGGAUGACGGUACCGGAAUAAGAAGCACCGGCUAACUACGUGCCAGCAGCCGCGGUAAUACGUAGGGUGCGAGCGUUAAUCGGAAUUACUGGGCGUAAAGCGUGCGCAGGCGGUUUUGUAAGACAGGCGUGAAAUCCCCGGGCUUAACCUGGGAACUGCGUUUGUGACUGCAAGGCUAGAGUACGGCAGAGGGGGGUGGAAUUCCACGUGUAGCAGUGAAAUGCGUAGAGAUGUGGAGGAACACCAAUGGCGAAGGCAGCCCCCUGGGUCGAUACUGACGCUCAUGCACGAAAGCGUGAGUAGCAAACAGGAUUAGAUACCCUGGUAGUCCACGCCCUAAACUAUGUCAACUAGGUGUUGGGUGGGUAAAACCAUUUAGUACCGUAGCUAACGCGUGAAGUUGACCGCCUGGGGAGUACGGCCGCAAGGUUAAAACUCAAAGGAAUUGACGGGGACCCGCACAAGCGGUGGAUGAUGUGGAUUAAUUCGAUGCAACGCGAAAAACCUUACCUACCCUUGACAUGCCAGGAACUUGCCAGAGAUGGCUUGGUGCCCGAAAGGGAGCCUGGACACAGGUGCUGCAUGGCUGUCGUCAGCUCGUGUCGUGAGAUGUUGGGUUAAGUCCCGCAACGAACGCAACCCUUGUCGUUAAUUGCCAUCAUUUAGUUGGGCACUUUAACGAGACUGCCGGUGACAAACCGGAGGAAGGUGGGGAUGACGUCAAGUCCUCAUGGCCCUUAUGGGUAGGGCUUCACACGUCAUACAAUGGUCGGUACAAAGGGUUGCCAAGCCGCGAGGCGGAGCCAAUCCCAGAAAGCUGAUCGUAGUCCGGAUUGCAGGCUGCAACUCGCCUGCAUGAAGUCGGAAUCGCUAGUAAUCGUGGAUCAGCAUGUCACGGUGAAUACGUUCCCGGGUCUUGUACACACCGCCCGUCACACCAUGGGAGCGGGUUCCGCCAGAAGUAGGUAGCCUAACCGCAAGGGGGGCGCUUACCACGGCGGGGUUCGUGACUGGGGUGAAGUCGUAACAAGGUA